AUUUUAUCAACAAUUACGCUACAAAGUCAAAUGCUGAUACGAUUUAAUAACAUUUCUGUUCAAUAUCUAUAAUCUGGUCUGAAAUUAUCGACCGAUUGUGUUUACGCGAAAGUCUGAGCAGUUUGUAAAUUCGUAGAACGUGAAUAAAUGCUCAGUUGCAUUAAAAGCACAUAGGCCAUUACAAUAUAAACUUCCUCAAUUAACCUACAUUGGAAAGUGGACGCAAACAGUCGAAUGAAAACAAAUAAAGUCGCUCGAGCUACGCUAUUUGUCAUUGCAACAUCACCACCCAACCCAACAAUGUUGUGUAUUUUACCUUGUCCGUCCCCUGAACGCGCACAACACAAUUUAAUAUGAUCGACGGGCGAGCAAUACUAUUUUUGCGCUUCUAUUGGAUGCGAAUUGAACAUAGAACCGAACCAAAACCGGGCAGUAGACGCGCGCUGCGAUGUAUUCCCCAACGGUGCACUUGGUUGAAACUAACUAUCGGAUGGUGGCGGUGUACCUUUAAGCAAAUGAAAAACAAUUGUACCUACUACUGUCAAAUGCCGCUGCUGCUGCUUCUACUUUCCUUUACUUCGCCCUGUUGAUUUGCAAAUAAAAACCGACUGAGAAUGUCUGAGGAGAGUGAGGCGAAAAA